UAUAAGCCUUAGGAUAAAUGAGAUUGCUUGUAGAGGAGUGUCCAAUAGCUCCCAAAAAGGAAAGGUCACCCACUACAGCACAGUUCACAGGCAGCUCCUGUUCUGAGAUGUUCCACUCACUAUCAAGCACAAAAUGGAACAGCCUAAUGCAGAUGAAUGUGGUUCCCAUUCUCAGCACUCUCUUGCACAUUUCUCUCUGGAUACUUCAAAAUACAGCACUGGAAGUAGGAAAAUGAUACUUGCAUCUGUACAUGUAUUAAUAGACCAAAUCAGCUGAGAACAACACAGAAGGAAGUGCUUAACUGUAGGAAUCUCAAGCAGGAAAAUCCCAAAACAUUGUUCCCUUCUGAAGAAGCAGAGGACAGCUGAAAGACCCCUGGGUUUUGCCUGCCCUUUUCAUCAGCACACAGGGAUUUAACCCCACCCUGCCAAAGGAGCAGCCCCAGGCCAGCACACACACACAUCCCCAUCCCAUCCCAUCCCACAGUCUGAGCACAGAGCACUCCCACACUGACAUGGCUACAGGACACCUGAUCGAACAUUACAACCUCUGAAGAAAAGCAGGAUGAAAAUGAUGAUGAUUUCAGAUUACUCCACAAGACAGAGAAGUCAACUCAUUCUCCAGCACUCCCUCCAGAAUCAACACCUUAAGCAGCCAGGACAAAAAGGUCAAAACAAGGAAGGACAAUCAAGAAUAUACAGUUGGAUCGCUUAAUGAUUUGUCUAAAACAGAUUUCUGAAGAGAAUAUUUUAAUUUUUGUUUUGAGGAAGAUGCUGUUAAAGCCCUGAACAUAAUGUCCUAGUUCUUCUAAUAAAAACUUUCCCCAGGGAGGUAAAGACUCCACUAACUCGUGAGCCACGAUAUUCUGCACAAGUGCAAGAACACCAGAAUAUAAGUGCAGCACAUUUUGAAGGUUCAGAAGCUCUGAUUUAAUAUCAGUUAAUAAAUCUUUUGGUAUUACCCUGUA